CGGACGGGUGGAGUAACGCGUGGAAAACCUGCCGUAUACUGGGGGAUAACACUUAGAAAUAGGUGCUAAUACCGCAUAAGCGCACAGCUUCGCAUGAAGCGGUGUGAAAAACUCUGGUGGUAUACGAUGGUUCCACGUCUGAUUAGCUAGUUGGUGGGGUAAUGGCCUACCAGGGCAACGAUCAGUAGCCGGCCUGAGAGGGUGAACGGCCACAUUGGGACUGAGACACGGCCCAAACUCCUACGGGAGGCAGCAG
rnacentral:rRNA from 1 species